GUACACGCUGUGACUAGCAUAUCAAUAAGCGGAGGAAAAGAAACUAACAAGGAUUCCCCUAGUAACGGCGAGUGAAGCGGGAAGAGCUCAAAUUUGAAAUCUUAAAGGGUUUCCCUUUACGAAUUGUAGUUUAAAGUAGUGUUUUCUGUUGAGGUUUUGGUAAAAGUUCUUUGGAAUAGGACAUCAUAGAGGGUGAGAAUCCCGUAUUUGACCUUUACUUUCAACUUUGUGAUACACUUUCAAAGAGUCGGAUUGUUUGGGAAUGCAGUCCAAAAUGGGUGGUAAAUUUCAUCUAAAGCUAAAUAUUGGCGAGAGACCGAUAGCGAACAAGUACCGUGAGGGAAAGAUGAAAAGAACUUUGAAAAGAGAGUUAAACAGUACGUGAAAUUGUCAAAAGGGAAGCGUUUGACACCAGUGUUGUUUUUCUGAAAAUCAAUUAAAGAACUGUUUAUGCUAAGCUGUUUAGACUUUAUCAGCUAACUGUUUAGUUUUGAGCUUUUCCUUAAUGCACUUUUCAGUUAACAAGUCAACAUCAAUUUCUUUUGCUGUAAAAAAGCUUGAGGAAGGUGGCUUGAGAUUCGUCUUAAGUGUUUAUAGCCUCUUGCCUAUGCAGUCGGAGAGAUUGAGGUCUGCAGCGUAGAUCCUUCGGGGCUAAAUGCAUUUGUGCUAAGUUAUAGCAUUUUAUAGACAACUUGUUGACUAUGAUUUGUCUUGUAGCUUACUCGCCUAUGUUAUUUUACCUACGCUUAGGAUGUUGAGUCGUAGAGCACGCAG
rnacentral:rRNA from 1 species